rnacentral:lncRNA from 1 species
CUGACGAAUGCAGCUCCGCUUUGCACGUCCUGGUUAGAAUAUCUAUUGUUUGUCUGGUAUGCUUUCUUUUCGGGAUUAAGGGUGUGACUGAAGGAAAGAACACACUUAAUAUAUAGCUCAUAGCGUGCAUUAACAGUCGCAGUACGCCUACCGGCACACACUCUCUCUUUGUUGUCUAUAUGCCUUGUUUUUCGCAUAUGAGAUCCCUCUCUUUCCAAUGAAGAUAAUGCUAUUCUGCGAGCAUUCACGCAUAUCUACAUGCACAGCACGAGUAUGUAAACAUAUGCCUUCUUUUUCCUCUCGGGUGUG